ACCAGAAAGCCACGGCUAACUACGUGCCAGCAGCCGCGGUAAUACGUAGGUGGCGAGCGUUAUCCGGAAUUAUUGGGCGUAAAGAGGGAGCAGGCGGCACUAAGGGUCUGUGGUGAAAGAUCGAAGCUUAACUUCGGUAAGCCAUGGAAACCGUAGAGCUAGAGUGUGUGAGAGGAUCGUGGAAUUCCAUGUGUAGCGGUGAAAUGCGUAGAUAUAUGGAGGAACACCAGUGGCGAAGGCGGCUCUCUGGUCUGUAACUGACGCUGAGGCUCGAAAGCGUGGGGAGCGAACAGGAUUAGAUACCCU
rnacentral:rRNA from 1 species